rnacentral:lncRNA from 1 species
AAAGAAUUGGACAGAUAAGGCUCUAAGGAACAGAGGAAUCACCUGACUCAUCCAGGUUUCAACUAUUUAGAGAAAGAGCCAAGACUGGAACCCAGAGCUGGUGACUCCAAGUGCAAUUAUUUUCCCCACUAUGUCUAAAGUAUCACCUGCUAUUAUCGUUAAACACGGCCACUCCGUGCGUCAGGAAAACAGACAGCAGUUGUAGGUCUGUCUAGUUGUGGUAUGUGGGACACCACCUCAGCAUGGCUUGAUGAGCGGUGCCAUGUCCGUGCCCAGGAUCCAAACCGGUGAAAUCCUGGGUCACUGAAGCAGAGCGUGUGAACUUAACCACUUGGCCACGGGGCUGGCCCUCAAAGACGUAUUUUUCUAAACCCCCUCACCUUCUGCCUUCCCCUUAACUUCAGUCUACUGAUAGGGGAAAAAGUGACAUUUUAAAAUAUUGAAAAAGAAUCUGAUCCCAUUAGAUAAAAAAAAUAUGUAUAUGUCAACUCAAACUGGAAGGAAAAAUGCCAACAUAAAAAUAGUUGUGUUGGAGUGGUACAAUCAUCUCCUUUUCCAUUCUUACCUUUGCUUUUCAUUUUUAAAAAUAUAUAUAAUAAAACAUACACCAUAUAGUAACAUUUCAUAUAUAUGUAUUUUGACUAUAUUUUUCAUAUAAAAUUUCAAAUUUUAUACAAUGUCUAUCUUGACAGAAUAGGGUUUAAUAUAGCUUGGAUUUAAAUAACUAGUUAUAGUUUAGCUUUUCACUCUUUAUGUGCAUCAGUUAAGAUUCUUCAGUUGCAAGCAAUAGAAACUAACUCUAGCUACUUAAACAAAGAGCAUGGAAGAGUGCAUAGGACCAAAAGGAUGCCUUGGAGAAGCAGGCGGCCACUGAGAGCAUCCACUCCACUGAGCGUCAGGCCCUGCCACUCUGGACAAAUGCUUGCCCACUGUUUGUUUCUUCUGUGCUCAGUCCCUAAGAUUCAGUCCUUGGAGAGAGAGACUUUGCUUGGCCGAAGGUGUGCCCCAAGCUAGGAUGUCCUGAGCUGAUGAACAAGGGAGAGACUUGAAUGGGCUCUCCCAGGUCCCCCCCCAUUUCCAUGUGGGAGACCACGACACUUCGAGGAUGCCAUCC